rnacentral:rRNA from 1 species
CAGCCGCCGCGGUAAUACGGAGGGGGCUAGCGUUGUUCGGAAUUACUGGGCGUAAAGCGCACGUAGGCGGCUUGGUAAGUUAGAGGUGAAAGCCUGGAGCUCAACUCCAGAAUUGCCUUUAAGACUGCCGAGCUAGCAGGUGAGAGAGGUAAGUGGAAUUCCGAGUGUAGAGGUGAAAUUCGUAGAUAUUCGGAAGAACACCAGUGGCGAAGGCGGCUUACUGGCUCAUACUGGACGCUGAGGUGCGAAAGCGUGGGGAGCAAACAGGAUUAGAUACCCCAGUAGUCCCUGUCUCUUAUAA